GUAAACACUGCCUUUUCUCUGGAAAGACAGGGAUUAAAAUUAAAAUGCCUGCAGGGACAAGCUAUAGACACCAGAACUACAUUGAGCUGUACAGAGGCGGCUCUCUAAUUAGGCGGAUUAGGUGGCCGCCUAAGGCCUCGCGCUGACUGUGUCAGGCCCGUUAUGCCGCCGGGUGCGAGGCCCCUCCUGGCUGCCCGGCCACUAUCGCAGGCACAGGUCUGCAGCUCCGCAGUG